AAAGGGUCCGUAGGCGGACUGAUAAGUCAGUGGUGAAAUCCGACAGCUUAACUGUCGAACUGCCAUUGAUACUGUUAGUCUUGAGUAAGGUUGAAGUGGCUGGAAUAAGUAGUGUAGCGGUGAAAUGCAUAGAUAUUACUUAGAACACCAAUUGCGAAGGCAGGUCACUAAGUCUUAACUGACGCUGAUGGACGAAAGCGUGGGGAGCGAACAGGAUUAGAUACCCGGGU
rnacentral:rRNA from 1 species